GAGGAAAAGCACUCGUUUCCCAUUUCUCCUCCUCGCCUGUUAUCUCCCCAUCUUAUCUGUUUGCCUGACAGGAGAAAAGUUUCAGAUCGGCGGAAGGAGGAGAGCUGAAAGGGGAGGGGAGUCCGCUGUCUCUUUUCGCGCCCUUGUUCAAGUGGGAGGGGGAGAGGAUUUUAAGUGGUUGAUUUUUGUUUUUCUUAGUGGGUUAACCUAGAGUUCUUUCGUCAAGAGAAUCUGUGGCGGAUAUGAUGAAGGGGAUGAGCUUUUCUUAUUUUGGAAAGCAGCAGAAGUUUUCUGUUGUGUGUAGUUUUUUAUCUUUUUUUGUAGGAUUUGUAGAUGGAUGGUAGUGCAUUUUCGUCCCUUUUUUUGUUAAGGCAUCUUGGUUUUGCUAGUGUAGUUUAGUUCUUAUAAGAAGGUGUCAUACAUUUUUUUAGUUUUUCAGUUAUGACAUAUUGCAGGUUGAUGUUCUGUAGCAUAUGUUUUCUCCAAGCUUUUGUUAAAGCUGUUAAAUGUA